rnacentral:lncRNA from 1 species
AUCUUCAUGAGGUGUAAUGGCGCCGGGAUGCGCUCUCCUCUUCUCAUUUGCCAAUUUAUUGCAGAUCCCUCCUCAAAAAAGUUUUGGGACUAACUCAGCCCCAUGGAGAUCAAGGUGAAUUAGAAAAACAACAAAACAAAACAAGAUUCAUUUUAACAUCUCAUUUUUCUAUCUCCAACUUUCCCUCCCCUCCUCCCACCCCAGGAAGAAAAGACUACGUUUGUUUCUGGUGAUACAUUCAUUGUAGGUGGGUGGGUGACUUCUAGAAGAGGAAAAUCAAGAAGAUUUGGAGAAGGAGUCUUGGAAGCUCUGGUGAAGUUUUCCAAAACUGGGAAGGACAGAGUCUGCUCAGCCUGUGUUAGUGGAGAAGAGGGAAGGAAACUGGCUGGAGGCCGCUGGACCCACAGAGGACAAUAGACAAUCUCCUGCUCUAAGAAGGAAUCAGUGGCCUUAAGAAGACAAUCUUGAAAAAGGACCUAAGUGAUGGAUGCCCACUGGAUCCAAAGAGAGAAACUCUAUAGAAUUAUGAUCUAGGUUUGACUGACUCCUGGCAAGAAGCCCUACCCGCCAGCCAAUUUGGAUGAGGUCACAGGGGUCAUCCAUCUUUCCUUCUAUGUGACUGGUUUGCUCUUGCAUAUCAUGUUUUCCGCUCUUAUGCUCCAGAUCCAUCAUGAGAAGAACAUGCCCUGGAUUCCUGCUAUCCCUUUAGCCAUGGCUCCAAAAUUAACACACACAAGGAAGACCUGAGGUCAAUCCACAGCCUGGAUUCAAGUCACCUAAUACAUAGGAGAAUCAGAGCUACCCAGCCACACUCAAUCUACGUUAACUGAACCUCAGCUGACCUGCAGAUUUAUGAGUAUGAGAAUAAAGGCUUGUUAAUGUAUAU